AGAGUUUGAUCAUGGCUCAGAACGAACGUUGGCGGCGUGGAUUAGGCAUGCAAGUCGAACGAGAAAGUUUCCUUCGGGAAGCGAGUACAGUGGCGAACGGGAGAGUAACGCGUGGGAAACCUGCCCUUUAGCGGGGGACAACACUCCUAACGGAGUGCUAAUACCGCAUACGAUCCGGAGAUCGCAUGAUCACCGGAGGAAAGAUGGCCUCUACAUGUAAGCUGUCACUAAAGGAUGGUCCCGCGUCCCAUUAGCUUGUUGGUGGGGUAAUGGCCUACCAAGGCGACGAUGGGUAGCCGGCCUGAGAGGGUGUCCGGCCUCACUGGGACUGAGAUACGGCCCAGACUCCUACGGGAGGCAGCAGUCGAGAAGCUUCGGCAAUGGACGAAAGUCUGACCGAGCGACGCCGCGUGAGCGAUGAAGGCCCCAGUGGUCGUAAAGCUCUGUCAGGAGGGAAUAAAUACCCGCGAUUAAUAUCCGCGGGGGCUGAAGGUACCUCCAGAGGAAGCGCCGGCUAACUACGUGCCAGCAGCCGCGGUAAUACGUAGGGCGCAAACGUUGUUCGGAUUUACUGGGUAUAAAGGGUUCGUAGGCGGACCGAUAAGUCAGAGGUGAAAGCCAACGGCUCAACCGUUGAAUUGCCUCUGAUACUGUUGGUCUUGAGUCCGUUAGGGGAUGGUGGAAAUUCCUGGUGUAGCGGUGAAAUGCGUAAAUAUCAGGAGGAACACCGGGUGGCGAAGGCGGCCAUCUGGGACGGUACUGACGCUGAGGAACGAAAGCAUGGGUAUCAAACGGGAUUAGAUACCCCGGUAGUCCAUGCUGUAAACGAUGGGCACUAGU
rnacentral:rRNA from 1 species